AAGCGAUCCGGAGCCAACCACAAAAAAAUACCAUCCCAGUUCGGAUUGCAGUCUGCAACUCGACUGCAUGAAGCUGGAAUCGCUAGUAAUCGCGGAUCAGAAUGCCGCGGUGAAUACGUUCCCGGGUCUUGUACACACCGCCCGUCACACCAUGGGAGUCGGAUAUGCCCGAAGUCAGUGACCCAACCGCAAGGAGGGAGCUGCCGAAGGUGGAGCCGAUGACUGGGGUGAAGUCGUAACAAGGUAGC
rnacentral:rRNA from 1 species